UCAGACCCCUGGUGUUCCAGCCCAAGGCAGGCAGCACUCUGUGCUUGGGGCCUCGGGGCCGGUCCAGAAGGCUCCACAUAAAGGACUCAAAACGUCUUGUCCAGUUGCUAAAAGUUGUUCACAGGGAUGACUGGACCCUAUUAAGUAUUCUUUCAUCUGUAGUGAACAUUUCACCAAAAAAAACUCUUGAACAGGCUGGAGGGUCAGUACUACAUGUUAAAGCCCACGGCCUUGCCCUCCAUCUUCCACCUGACUGAGAAGGAGGAGCUGAAGGCCACUGCCGCCCCAGAAGAAAUGAGACCAAGAUAGCCGCCAGGGACAAGAGGAACAUGCCAGUGAAGCAGAUGGGAAAGGAGCUUCAGGUUCAUCCUCAUCCUCGAGGGAAAACCUGAGGGCCCAGGAAGGGUCCCGCAAAUUGAAGCGAGCCCUUCUGCAGGGCAAACCCGAACCCAAUGCCACCCAGGAAGCCACCAGUCAGGAGCGGGCAAAGAGUCUCUGGAAGGAACUCCAGGAGACAGUGUGGUCUCCACAGCGUGAGGCAGCCAGGGAGAUGCAAACAGGUCUGCUGUAGAUGCUGGCGAUGAGACCGCCUCUUCCCAGCCAGGGCCUGCUGGAUAAGAGUGGCAUUUCCGUGGGUGACUUUAUCCCUCAGGAUCUGAGGCAUGCAGAUUUAUUGGCUGGCAUCCUUCUUACAGUUUCUCCUCAGCACACACUCAAGAGAGGCCAUCUGUCCCUCGAGAGGCUGUUGACCGAAAGAGGCUGAAGAGAGAUGUGGAGCCCACCUACAGUGGGGCCAGCCUUGGGCCUGAUGAGAGCUUGGCCCAGAGCCCCCACGUUCAUCAUUCACAAUGAUGCCUCAGAAACUCUCCCAGAGCCCCUUCACCCUCCAACAGAUGUCACCCCGGAGCCAGCCGUGGAAGAUGUGCAGGAUGAACACAGCAACACCGGCCCCAGGUCCCUGAGCGGGGUCAUCCUGUCAGCGCUGGGGCCUAAGAACUCCUGGACUCGCUGCACUCCUACUGCUUCUGGUCCCGGGGGAACAGGAGCACGGGUGCCGCCUGCAGGAGCAGGUGGAGAAGGACAGCGAGCUGAAGAGGGGCAGCUGCCGACAGCCAGGUGCACACGCUGCAGGAGGAGCUGGACGAGCUGAAGGGAGGGGCUCCCUAACUGAGCAGCCUGCUGCCCCCAGCCGAGUUUGGUGGCAGCAGUGGGAUCCAAAGGAGACGCCUGAUGGCUUCGAGGAUGAGAAACAGUCAUUGGUACCAGCAAAACCUUUGAGUUCUCCAUCUUUUUCACUGUUUCUGAGGGCUGUGGGAGUUCGAGAUCCUGAAGAACUUCUUCUCGUCCUGCACUGUCAACUCUGCUCUGCAGAAAACCUUCACAAGCCACCUGAAGAACACACGGGGGAAGUUUCCCGGAAGCCAGGACCCUGCUGCUCCUUCUAUCUUCACCACAUCUCCAAGGGGCUGCAUCCUGCCUGCCCCAGGGAUGUGCGUGGCAGAGGAUUCCCAUGGCCCAGGUGGAAAAACAGGCUGCUCAUCCUCAGGAGGGGCCCUCCACGUUUGCUCCCCCAGAGAGCAACCCCCAGAGAGUGCAGGAGAAGCAGCAGCAGCGGCAGGGGAAUGGGAUCAACCUUGAGAAGAGUACUGAGGAGCAGCUGUGGCACUCCCUGCAGGGGAGAGGAAGGAGGUGGAAAUCAGAGACCUUCUGGGCAGAACAGUCCUUGGCUUCACCCGCUGUAUCUUACAUUGAGUGGAAGAGUUUGAUACCAGAGAAGUGGGAGACCCAUCCAAUUGGCGGCUACACCUUGUCCUGCCAGCCAGAGCGCUAGACCUAGUUGGCCUGCAGAGUACGCAAGGCCAAGAAGAACCGGCCAUCAUCAAGGUCAGGGGUGAGUGAGUGUCUGGGCCGGGGUGACUGACUCCUAGGGGUUCAGUAAGGCUUUGGGCUAAGCGUGGCCUUGGGGAGUCGGAUAGCUGGCACUGGGAUCCCAGCUCCACUAUUGACCAGUCCUGUGACUGGGGUGACUCUCUUCAGCUUCCUGAGACUCCGUUUCCCCCUCUGUGAA